UUCUCUUCAACUUCUUCAUUAUUAGAUAUAUAUAAAUUGGUUGGAUGUAUAUUCAAGUUUGUUUGAAAUUUUACUUUGAGGAAUGUGUUUCGUUUUAUCAUAUGUAGCUGUUGAUUUUGGUAUUUCUAUUUUUCUCGCUUUCAUUUAUUUAGGUGCUGGUUUGGUUGCCAAGAUGAGCAGAGGCACCCUCUUCUCUCAUCUGUUUAUCAGAUUGGAACCUAAUAAUGAGUAGCUUGAUACUUGAGAUUGUUAGUUAAUCAAGGCAUGGUAACUUUUUUCAUUAUCAAUUUAUAUUCACUAGGAAUCUCAAGUAGAUGAACUGUAAUAGCUAGUCUAAUUGGUUUUUUAUUCUCUUAUCAUUCCACAGGACCCAACAAUGUUUGAAGCAAUGACUAGAGCAAUAUUCUGAAAGUGAUGUUUGAGAGGUAAUUAUUUUUAUCAAAUAAGUAGUUUCUGAAAUGGGCUGCCCAAGAAAUUAAAAACCUUUGAAUGUAAUUUUGAAAGUAGGAGAAACAUUUUAACAUGUGUUCUAUAUCUAUCCUUGGUACAGAUGAUAUAUCCUCGUUUGAGAGGUAGACUACAUGUCAUACAUCCUUUACAUGGCCUGGUUUUGUGAGGGUUGGCAUUUAAGCUCAGCUUUGUGCAAUCAAAUAUGGGAAAUUGUUGAAUUCCAGUUGUCAAGUAUUCGUUUCUGUUUCGGUGCGCCUGUGAGUAUUUUUCUGUGUUCUCCAUUUUCAGUUCAGUUUUGAAGUAUUGUUUUCAUGUGUGUGUGACUAAGAGGAUGACAUUGCUGUGAUGUUUGUAUAUAAAGGCAUCUCAUUUCUGUUUUGCGCAUUUUCAAAU